GCGGUUGUGGCGGAAUGGCAGACGCGCUAGGUUGAGGGCCUAGUGGGGGUUCACCCCGUGGAGGUUCGACUCCUCUCAACCGCACCA
rnacentral:tRNA from 1 species